ACAAGGAAGGACUGCUUUGCUGAAGCCACUCACUCCGGGAGAUUUAUAAUUGGAAGUUUGGCCCAGGGAGAUAAUCAGCCAAGAGCGCGCACGCACACACACACACACACACACACACACACACACACACACACUCUGAAGAAACCCAGUGGAGAUUCAGCACUAACCCACCACACACACACACACACACACACACACACACACACACACUCUCUGAAGAAACCCAGUGGAGAUUCAGCACUAACCCAGCACAGCGAUAGAAGAGGAGAAGAGACAUACAGAGGACAAGGCCAUGUCACAACAAGUGGAGACUGGAAUUAUGCAGCCACAAGCCAAGGAACCUCUGGAACCACCAGAAGCUGGAAAUGGCAGAGCCAGACCUUGAUUUCAUGCGAGAAGGUGGAGUAGGAGGAAGAGAAGGAGGAGAGUUAGAAGGAGUAGGAGGAGGAGGAAAACCUCCUGGCUCGUCUGAGUAUAUUCCUAGGUGAUGGCAGAGGGGCAAGAAAGCAAGCAAAAAGAAGCACAGAAGCCCUCUCAUGGCCAAAACUGGCUUGGUGUCACUUUUACCUCAUUCUAUUGGUCAAAAAAAGUCAACAGGCUGAGCCCAGAGUCAGAGUGGGAGAGUACUGCAUGGUUACAUGACAGAGGAUGUGGAUAUGAGGAAUCGUGAAGAACUGCAUCCAUUAGAGCCAUCUGUCACAGAAGGGACUAUUGUCAUUUUACUAAUUUUGUACAUGAGGAUAGGGAAGCAUGGAGAUGGUAACAUGCCUAAAGUCACAUAGCUUCUUAGCUGUGGAACCAGAAAGUAAACCUGGGCCUUCUGGGCCCAGGGCCCGUGGCUGUUAAAACCACUGUGCACACUGCCUUACUCCUACCCUUCACAAUCAGGUUUCUGCUCUGACCACCCUAGAAAACAUGCCCGUCUCAGGUUACCGAUGCUCUCCUAUGGACAGAUCCAAUAGCCUUUGUUAAUUGUCCACAUCUCUAUCCAUUCUGUAAUACUCCUGCAUGCUGCAUCCUUGGAGUUCUUUUCUCCUUUGAUUCUGCAGAACCUGUACUGUUUUGUUUCUCUUUCUGGCUUCCUCUGUCUGUCUCUCUUCACCAACUACAUAAUGCAUUCACUUCUUUUUCUUGGCAUCUCCCUUUCCAAGCACACCCACUCUCCUGGUUUCCAUUAUCUCCCUGCAGACAACUCUCAACUGGCUCUAAGAAAGCUCACUAUAAUUUUCAGCAACCUAAUUCAGUCGUUUGUCCGUCACAAAUAACAGCUCAGGAAAAUCAAAGGAUUUUCUCACUAGCAUCUUAUCAUUCCAUGUCACCUAGCAACUAUCCCAGUGCUUGAUAUUCUGCUACUAGAAACUCCCUACUACACAGAUAAUACCACUGGAAGGUAUAAAGCCACUUGACUGACCUCUCUCCAUUCACAGCAUUUAUAACUGUAAGAAAUUGCCAGUGGUUGACUCUUUCCGACCUUCGAAAGUGGCAAUUUCAUGUGGUUCAGCUUAAUAGUAUUUAUUACCUUGUGCUGUAAUAAUUUUGUAUCUGUAUCUCCCAUGAGACUCAAAGCUGCUUGAUUGAGGAGAUCAUGCUUGCUUCUGCUUUUCAUCAAGUUGCCUAGUACAUGACACUCUGUAAGGAUUAGACCAAGUAGGUAUUGAAUAAUUGUUUGGCGAAUUUAAAAAAUUAAAGAAACAUUUGAAAUCAAUGCACCAGAGGCUAGAGACAGAGUGCUAGGAAGGGAACAGGAUGGGGACAGGGACACCAGAGCAAAGAUAGAGUCAAAGACACAUUUCCAAAAUGGCAAUUCAUGCCUUGUGUCAGUUGUACCCACCUCACAUUCUUUAACACUUAAGGUUUUUCUGGGUAGUAAGUGCAAUACAUUCUUAUUAUAAAACAAUAUAGACAGUUCAGUAUGUAUAAAUGAGGAUAAAAUCAAAAUCACCCACAAUCUCACCACUUUGUGAUAAUAACCAUUAACUUCAAUAUUGAUGAAUUUCCUUGAAUGUUUUAUCUACAAUAUUUCUUUCAUAUAGUUGAUAUCACUCUGUAUGCACAAACUUGUAUCCUUUUUCUAAAUCUUAAUAUCAUAAUAUUAGCAUUUUCUAAUGUUAGUAGAUGUACUUCUUAAAUAUUGCUUUUUAAUGAUAAAGGUUUUUUUUUUUUU
rnacentral:lncRNA from 1 species